UUAGGUUGGACUGGAUGGCCCUUGCAGUCUCUUCCAACUCUAUGAUGAUUUCCCUUGCUGUGCCAAAGAGAGGAGGCAGCCUUGUUCUUAAAGGGAUGCAGACACACGUGCAUGCACACACACACACCUCUCUUUGUCUUGCACGGCUGGUGUCCUCCUCCUGCAGCAGGUAACAGCUGGUGGGAGAAGACUGAAAGAGGACAUUUUGGAAUUCCUCCUGUACAGGAGAGAGAAAUGGAGGAUAUGUCCUGGAAAAGGAGGGCAUCUGGGCCAGAUUGGAUUACCUAUCUUCACUCAAUUGUGCUAUCCAUCAUGACUUCUAGAGCAAAACACUAGUGAAAGCAAUGCUGUUGCUUCAAGACCUCCCCUUCAUUGUUUGGAAAAUUCCAAUAGUGGUUUGGACCAAUCUUUAGUAUAAGGAAACCAAAGAAGCCAUAGUAUAAAUAUUUUUAUAGAUUAUUCACAAAAUGAAGGGGGAAAUGCAAAAAAAUAAAGAUACGCAGAAGGUAAGAAUGCUACCAUAAUCUCAUUCUAGGAUGCAAAAAGAUACCUCUGUGUGGUUUUCUUUAAAAAGAUGGGGCUUUUAUCACACCAUCAUCCUGACUCCACUGCAUUUUAAAGGCUUCAGACAAAGUCAUCCUCCAGUCAUAAUCUUAGCACACAAAAACAUUCUUGUUUUCCCACAAUUUCUGUCUUUUUCCUUAGCACAGAAAAUCCAUUUGGGUGAGAGAAAGAAUAACUGUGUACUGCAUUGUAAUUGCUAAUCUGAGGAGGGAUCCAUUUGGAAAUCAUCUAUGGCCAUGUCUGCACUGAUCAGGAUACUCUGGGGCAUCCUGGCUCUACUGCUGCUCCAGCUUCCCCAUGUUAUCUGGCCCUCCAUUCCUGCACAGCAGAAGAUGUCUGCACAGACAUCCCACUGAGACACCUGGAGCAUCCACUGCCACCACAGGUCACUCACUUCUGUAUACAAAAUUUACAGAGAAUACAUUGUUAACUAUUGCUGAGAUGGUACAUUGGAAGACAGGGCAUAUGUUUCCAUCUAGAUGGAACAACAUUCCAUCUCCUGCUCAAAACUUAUCUUUCUCACAUUUAAGCUCUUGAAACUACUCUUGAAACAACUAUUUAGUGGCAGACAGGGAGAGGAGGGUGGUUGAGAGUAGAGGGUGGUGGAUCUGACUGUGUCCUUAUAACUGGUGGCUGCGGCAGUGGCUGCUGCUGCUGCUGCUGCUGCUGUUGCUGCUUCUUUUUCUGAGUCCUCUCAGUGGUUUUCCAAAGGAAGACACUGUCAUUGUAUGUUCAAUUAUAGGGAUAUAGCCAAAAUAGUCACUCUGCACACUUAGUGCAACUUAUGCUUGCUUAUGUCACCUACAAGAUUGUGGCCAGUGACAUUGGUGAUGGGCUGCUCCUUCUUCCUGAAAGACCCUUCUUCAAAGACUCCCCAAUAUAACAGAGACCCUCUGUGCAGCAAUUACUCAACAAAUGGAACUGUUGCUUUUCUCUUGGAGAGAAGGCAAAAAUUGCUCCAUACUUUAUUCUGUGCACUGUGAGAGAAAAUAUGCUUUCCCCUAGCACUGAGAAUCCUUGCUCUUAUCACUAAUCAGCAAUUGGAGAUAAAUGUGAGAUUUCUUCUUCUAAUGCUAGAGGAAAGCUGGGAACAGUAGAGUGGUGUGUGACAGGAAGUCUGUGAGGGCUGGAUGGAGAACUAACUAUGGUCUAGAGUUGCCAGAAAUCUGGUCACUGUGUGAUUGUAGAAUUAAACAAGCUUCAUUUAUAUACCGCUUCAUAUCACCUAAGCAGUGUCUAAGCAGUUUAGUUUGCCCCCAAAAAUCUGGGUACUCAUUUUAACGACCUCAGAAGGAUGCAAGCCCGAGUCAAGCUUGAGCCCUUUUGCUGGUCUUGAACUCACAACCUUAUGGUUUUGAGUGAGUGGCUGCAAUACAGGCAUUUGACCAUUGCGCCACCAGAAUUAAGUGUAUAGUUGCAGGGAGUUGAGCUAUAAAAUGAUGAAAGUUUCAGACAAAGUAGAAAUUAGGGGAUGGAGGAGAAAAAUGGAGUGAAAGAGGAAUCAACCUGCUUAGAACACUGAGUUUAAAAGAGAAGACCACCAAAGAGUUUACAAUAUCCUGGAGAUGCACUCCACAUACUAUUACCUGCACCCUUAUUUGUAGCAAUCAAGCUCUCUCUGGUCAUGUUCAGCAGCCCCAGUCCUAAGCCAUUCUUUACUUAUCCACAUGGUAAAUCUGCCCUAUACCUGAAGAUCACAAUGUAGUCAUUAAAAAAACAUUAAAAUAAUUAUAUGUAAAAUAACUCAGCAUGAUCAAAGAACAACAUGAACAUCAUGGGAGCCAUAGCCUAGCCUUGCAAAAUACAAUCGCCUGUAUGAAGUAUAUCCAAUAUAAAGGUCAUUUAUAGGAAAAAGGUGACAGACACAAAGAAUUCUCCUCCUCCAGCAAUGUGAGCCCCAUUUGCUCUAGUGCAGUGAUGGCAAACCUUUUAGGGAUUGAGUACCCAAACUCAAAGGUGUUUCAGUACCAGGUGUUAGCUGGUGCCGGGGUGCAACUUCCCGAGGGGCAGAACUUCCCAGGAGGUUCACCACCACAGCUCUAGAACCUGAAGAGAUAUACAUAUUUCAGCUCCCUCCACUUGACCAAAGUGUGUGUUUUAUCCUAGAUGGAAAUAGUUUCUCUCUUAUUUGUUUUUAACUUUUGUAUGACUUUUAAAUGUUUUCAUAAUGUUUAAUGUGGGGAUUUUAAUUGUUUUUAAAACUUUACUGUAAAUGUUGUUAAUUUGUUUUCUCUAGAAGCCACUUUGAGAUAGAGGCAGCAUAUGAAUGAAGUAAAUAAAUAUAAAUAAACAAAUAAAUAAAGGGGAAGGCCAGACUUGUGGGAA